rnacentral:rRNA from 1 species
AUUGAACGCUGGCGGCAGGCCUAACACAUGCAAGUCGAGCGGAUGAAGGGAGCUUUUGCCUGUCUUCAGCGGCGGACGGGUGGGUAAUGCCUAGGAAUCUGCCUGGUAGUGGGGGAUGACGUCCGUAAACGGGCGCUAAUACCGCAUACGUCCUGAUGGAGAACGUGGGGGAUCUUCGGACCACACGCGAUCAGAUGUCACUAGGUCGGAUUAGCUAGUUGGUGUGGUAACGGCCUACCAAGGCGACGAUCCGUAACUGGUCUGAGAGGAUGAUCGGUCACACUGGAACUGAGACACGGUCCAGACUCCUACGGGAGGCAGCAGUGGGGAAUAUUGGACAAUGGGCGAAAGCCUGAUGCAGCCAUGCCGCGUGUGUGAAGAAGGUCUUCGGAUUGUAAAGCACUUUAAGUUGGGAGGAAGGGCAGUAAGUUAAUACCUUGCUGUUUUGACGUUACCAACAGAAUAAGCACCGGCUAACUUCGUG